rnacentral:misc_RNA from 1 species
GAUGAAGAACGUAGCGAAAUGCGAUAAGUAAUGUGAAUUGCAGAAUUCAGUGAAUCAUCGAAUCUUUGAACGCACAUUGCGCCCCCUGGUAUUCCGGGGGGCAUGCCUGUUCGAGCGUCAUUUCACCACUCAAGCCUCGCUUGGUAUUGGGCAACGCGGUCCGCCGCGUGCCUCAAAUCGACCGGCUGGGUCUUCUGUCCCCUAAGCGUUGUGGAAACUUUCGCUAAAGGGUGUUCGGGAGGCUACGCCGUAAAACAACCCCAUUUCUAAGGUUGACCUCGGAUCAGGUAGGGAUACCCGCUGAACUCAAGCAUAUCAAUAAGCGGAGGA